AAGUAAGUAUCCCCACUUUCAGGGUAGCAUCCUCUUUCCCUAGUUAUUUCAGUGCAGAAUCGAUUCACGUGUAAGCCUCUACCUCCUGCACUUACCCCAAUGUAGACCCCCUUCCACAGUCCCCCUACAGAAGAUCUCCCAAAACAUUUCCAACACAGAACUUCCAUUCAAUUCCCCUCCGACUGCCCGCCUCCCUCCUCCAGGACAGAGCACGCCCCAGGUUUCGAGACUGAACUACCCCCAUCUACGGAGUCCACCCCUCCCUCUCUAGAACCCCCUCAGUGUAGACGCCUCCUCUUUUCCUCUUUCCUCCCUACUUUUUCUAGUUUUUCUGCAGCCGACCUCCAGCGUCGGCCACUGUAGCUCCUUCCUUGCUCCACUUUCCCCAGAGUACACAGCCUGCCUUUCCACUCUCCGUGCAGACCCAUCCUCUUUCCCGCUCCUCGCUCUCGGACGCCACCAACGCUCUCCCGGGCUCUUCCGCGUUACCUACGAUGGAAGGUCGGGGCGUGCGGGCAGCUGGAACCCACCCCUGUCUUGGAGCUCCGGGUAGCUCUCAAACUCGAGGCUGCGCACCCCCUUUCCCGUCAGCUGAGCUCUAGAGCGCUGGGGCUUUCUUUUUGAUCGACUUCUUGAAAUAAAACCAACUUUAUCAUUCUUUGGGUAACAGACCCAAAAGCCGAUGGGACGGCCCGCUGGGCUGUUCCCGCCCCUAUGCCCUUUUUUGGGUUUCCGGCCAGAGGCAUGCUGGGAGCGUCACAUGCAAAUUGAGCGUGCACCCAGCGUUCCGCCCUUUCUACGCUGGGCCGGUUAUCGACCCGGCCCAGUGCGCAGGCGCGGGAAAGUUGAACUAAUAAAGUUUGUACGAGUUCAGUGGAGGAGACCGCAAGUUGAGUGGAGGAGGCGGCGGUGGGGCCCCGGACCAGGUGCCUCCAUGGCAGGCUCUGAAGAGCUGGGGCUCCGGGAAGACACGCUGAGGGUCCUAGCUGCCUUCCUUAGGCGUGGUGAGGCUGCCGGGUCUCCUGUUCCAACUCCACCUAGGCCCAGCUACUCCAGACUUCUAUGCUUUGGUGGCCCAGCGGCUGGAACAGCUGGUCCAAGAGCAGCUGAAAUCUCCGCCCAGCCCAGGAGGGCAUCCUGGCUGUUUCACCCGUGGACUUGAACUUGCCAUUGGACUGAGCUCUUUCUCAGAAGCUGCUACAAGAUGACACCUCAUGUCCCUGCCCUCUUCGUGUGCUUUUCCAAGUCUUCCUAUUCCACUCAGGGCUGUGGGGUGGUGGUUGCCCUACCUGUUUUUGCCAAAAAUAAAUUGUUUAAAACUUUUCUUAUUAAAAACGUUACAAAGUA
rnacentral:lncRNA from 1 species